rnacentral:rRNA from 1 species
UCCGUAGGUGGAUAAUUAAGUCAGGGGUGAAAGUCUGCAGCUCAACUGUAGAAUUACCUUUGAUACUGGUUAUCUUGAAUUAUUAUGAAGUAGUUAGAAUAUGUAGUGUAGCGGUGAAAUGCAUAGAUAUUACAUAGAAUACCGAUUGCGAAGGCAGAUCACUAAUAAUGUACUGACACUGAGGGACGAAAGCGUGGGGAGCGAACAGGAUUAGAUACCCUGGUAGUCC